UACAGAGGUCUCAAGCGUUGUUCGGAUUCAUUGGGCGUAAAGGGUGCGUAGGCGGCGCGGUAAGUCGGGUGUGAAAUCUCGGAGCUUAACUCCGAAAACUGCAUUCGAUACUGCCGUGCUUUGAGGACUGGAGAGGAGACUGGAAUUUACGGUGUAGCGGUGAAAAUGCGUAGAUAUCGUAAGGAAGACCAGUGGCGAAGGC
rnacentral:rRNA from 1 species